UUUUUUUGAGAAAAAAAUUGGGCUUUUAUUGGCAAUUACAAAAGUAAUAGAUUUUCUUACAUAAUACGUUCCUUCAGUAAUAUAUUUUUCAAGUAUUUUACCAUAGAAUUUCUAAAGUACUUUGUCAUUGACCCCAUAAUUUAUUAUAAAGUAGGUCCCAUAAUCACAUUUUUUGGAAGUUGCUGAAAUUGAGAUAAAAAAUAUUGUUUUUUUAUGAGAAAAACUGGACAAAAUACAGAAUGGCCAAAACUAGAUUAACUGGCUCAGUUAUGUCUACUAGGUGAAAGAAAAUACAGAAUCUGUUACUGUAGAAAUUUUAAGAGGUUUUGAGUCAGUUCCAGUAUAAAAAUAAGGCCAAAGUUCUCCUGUAAAAUCAUCAUUAAAAGUACAGAGAAGAGAUCUAUCAUUCAAAUUAUAAAAGGAAACCUCAUUCAUUUCACAGUCUAAAAAAAUGCCAAUCUUACUAGGUGUUACUUUUGGCAGCAGAAUAAUUUCCUUAUGGCCCAAUACAAUAUAAUUAUUCCGACUAGAUUACCAAAUUCUCCAUAAUCCAUCCUGUACUAAAAUUGGUUGACUCUUCCUCCUUGUGGGAGGAGAGUCACUACAGACACCAAGAAUCCAUUCAGGCAUGUCUUUAACUUCUACUUCCCGGUACUGCCUGCCACAAUUUUAUCCCUUAGAACCCAGAACAGCUGGGAGCAGAUAAAAUCUUCUUGGGUUAUGAGUUCCCAGAUGAUGCUGCUGGCCUGCGGACUGUACUUUGUGAACUUAUGCUGGAGCAGAUGGAUCAGAAACCCCGGCCAGAGGAUGCUCAGGACCCAUCAAGCCCCCGCGAGGAAGGACUCAGACCCCCAACCCCACCAAAUUAAAGCAGGCAAUGGAGAAUUAUACUGAAGGGAUUCUUCGGCUGGGCAAAAACAUGAUUAGAUCUGCAUUCUAAAGACUGCUCGCAGAGUAGAGGAUGGAUUGGAGCAGGGAGUCUACUGCAAUAGUACAGAUGCGAUAGUGAAGACUUCAUUUAAAGCAGCACCAGCAAGAAUGAGGAAGAAGGGAUUAAUAUGAAAAACGUUAAAGAGGUGGAAUGUAUAAGGCUCGAUGGCCGAAUGAUGGGAGGUAGGAAUAGGGAGUGUGUAGAAGGAGUCUAAGAUGACUCCCCGAUCUCUGGUUUGGGGGAAAAAAUGGGUGGGGAUAUCAUUAACUAGGGCAGGUAGUAAUAGGUACCCAGCCUCCAAGACGGCCUGUUCCAUGAUCCCUGCCUCCUUGUAUUCAUGCUCCUGUGUGAACUGAGGUCUGCAGCAAUCACCUGAGUGAGUCUGGAAGCAGAUUCUCCAGCCCAGCCAAGCCUUGAAAUGACAGCAACCCCAGCUGACAGCUAGACUGCAACAUGGUGAGACCCAAAGCCAGAACCACCUUCCUAAGCUACUCCCCGAUUCCUGUCUCUCAGAAAUUUUGUAAAAUAAUAAAGGCUUGUUUUACACUCCUAA